UCAUUGCAAAACUGUAUACGA
rnacentral:miRNA from 1 species